rnacentral:rRNA from 1 species
UUCCGGUUGAUCCCGCCGGACCCCACUGCUAUCGAGGUGAGACUUAGCCAGGCCAGUCGAACGACUCGGACUAUGGCGAGAAGUGGCAAACUGCUCAGUAACACGUAGCUAACCUACCCUCAGGACGGAGACAACCCCGGGAAACUGGGGUUAAUCCCCGAUAGGCGUGAAUUCCUGGAAUGGUGUCACGCCGAAACGUUAACACACCAUGUUUGUGUACACGCCUGAGGAUGGGGCUGCGGCCGAUCAGGCAGUUGGUGAGGUAACGGCUCACCAAACCUUUGACCGGUACGGGCCGUGAGAGCGGUAGCCCGGAGAUGGACACUGAGACAAGGGUCCAGGACCUACGGGUCGCAGCCGGUACGAAACCUCCACAAUGCACGCAAGUGCGAUGGGGUUACCUCGAGUGCCGCCUGAAGAAGGCGGCUUUUCCAUUGUGUAAUGAGCCGUGGGAAUAAGGGGGGGGCAAGACUGGUGUCAGCCGCCGCGGUAACACCAGCCCCCCGAGUGGUGGGGAUGUUUAUUUGGCCUAAAACGUCCGUAGCCAGCUAGGUAAAUCUCUCGUUAAAUCCAGCGUCCUAAGCGUUGGGCUGCGAGAGAGACUGCCAAGCUAGAGGGUGGGAGAGGUCAGCGGUAUUUCUGGGGUAGGGGCGAAAUCCAUUGAUCCCAGGGGGACCACCAGUGGCGAAGGCUGCUGACUAGAACACGCCUGACGGUGAGGGACGAAAGCUGGGGUAGCGAAUCGGAUUAGAUACCCGAGUAGUCCCAGCCGUAAACGAUGCACGCUAGGUGUUGGGUUGGCCAUGUGCCGACUCAGUGCCACAGGGAAGCCAUUAAGCCUGCUGCCUGGGGAGUACGGUCGCAAGGCUGAAACUUAAAGGAAUUGGCGGGAGAGCACCACCAGGCGUGAAGCCUGCGGUUUAAUUGGAUUCAACGC